rnacentral:rRNA from 1 species
UACGGGGGAGCAAGCGUUGUUCGGAUUUACUGGCGUAAAGGGCGCGUAGGCGGCCACCGCAAGUCGACUGUGAAAUCUCCGGGCUUAACCCGGAAAGGUCAGCCGAUACUGCGGGGCUAGAGUGCAGAAGGGGCAACUGGAAUUCUCGGUGUAGCGGUGAAAUGCGUAGAUAUCGUAAGGAAGACCAGUGGCGAAGGCGAGUUCCUGGACAGUUACUGACACUGAGGCACGAAG